rnacentral:snRNA from 1 species
AUACCUUUCUCCGCAUUUUGGCUAAGAUCAAGUGUAGUAUCUGUUCUUAUCAGUAGACUGUCCCUGCUUUCAUGUCAUACAUCUUAGGACCUAGCAAUCUAUUUAGACCUGUA